rnacentral:rRNA from 1 species
AUUGAACGCUGGCGGCAUGCUUUACACAUGCAAGUCGAACGGUAACAGGCCGCAAGGUGCUGACGAGUGGCGAACGGGUGAGUAAUGCAUCGGAACGUGCCCAGUCGUGGGGGAUAACGCAGCGAAAGCUGAGCUAAUACCGCAUACGAUCUAUGGAUGAAAGCGGGGGACCGUAAGGCCUCGCGCGAUUGGAGCGGCCGAUGAAAGAUUAGCUAGUUGGUGGGGUAAAGGCGCACCAAGGCGACGAUGUGUAGCUGGUCUGAGAGGACGACCAGCCACACUGGAACUGAGACACGGUCCAGACUCCUACGGGAGGCAGCAGUGGGGAAUUGUGGACAAUGGGCGCAAGCCUGAUCCAGCAAUGCCGCGUGCAGGAAGAAGGCCUUCGGGUUGUAAACUGCUUUUGUACGGAACGAAACGGUCUGGGUUAAUACCCUGGGCUAAUGACGGUACCGUAAGAAUAAGCACCGGCUAACUACGUGCCAGCCGCCGCCGUAACAC